rnacentral:rRNA from 1 species
AUACGUAGGUGGCAAGCGUUAUCCGGAAUUAUUGGGCGUAAAGAGGGAGCAGGCGGCAGCAAGGGUCUGUGGUGAAAGCCUGAAGCUUAACUUCAGUAAGCCAUAGAAACCAGGCAGCUAGAGUGCAGGAGAGGAUCGUGGAAUUCCAUGUGUAGCGGUGAAAUGCGUAGAUAUAUGGAGGAACACCAGUGGCGAAGGCGACGAUCGGGCCUGAAACUGACGCUCAGUCCCGAAAGCGUGGGGAGCAAAUAGGAUUAGAUACCCUAGUAGUCCACGCCGUAAACGAUGAGUACUAAGUGUUGGAUGUCAAAGUUCAGUGCUGCAGUUAACGCAAUAAGUACUCCGCCUGAGUAGUACGUUCGCAAGAAUGAAACUCAAAGGAAUUGACGGGG